rnacentral:sRNA from 1 species
GCCUCGGCAUCAGCGUGCUCC